rnacentral:rRNA from 1 species
GACGAACGCUGGCGGCGUGCUUAACACAUGCAAGUCGAACGGAUCAGGGGAGCUUGCUUCUCUGGUUAGUGGCGAACGGGUGAGUAACACGUGAGUAACCUGCCCUUCACUCUGGGAUAACUCCGGGAAACCGGGGCUAAUACUGGAUACGACCUGAACAGGCAUCUGUAUUGGGGUGGAAAAGAUUUAUUGGUGGAGGAUGGACUCGCGGCCUAUCAGCUUGUUGGUGAGGUAAUGGCUCACCAGGGCGACGACGGGUAGCCGGCCUGAGAGGGCGAUCGGCCACACUGGGACUGAGACACGGCCCAGACUCCUACGGGAGGCAGCAGUGGGGAAUAUUGCACAAUGGGCGAAAGCCUGAUGCAGCGACGCCGCGUGAGGGAUGAAGGCCUGGUU